CUGCUCACUUCAGCAGCACAUAUACUAAAAUUGGAAUAAUACAGAGAAAAUCAGCAUGGCCCCCACAAAAGAUGACAGGCAAAUUCAGGAAGCAUUCCAUAUUUUU
ensembl:snRNA U6 U6 spliceosomal RNA